GACGAACGCUGGCGGCGUGCUUAACACAUGCAAGUCGAACGGAAAGGCCCUGCUGCUGUGGGGUGCUCGAGUGGCGAACGGGUGGGUAAGACGUGAGUAACCUGCCCUUGCCUUUGGGAUAACUUCCGGAAACUAGGGCUAAUACCUAAUAGGUGCGCCUGCUGCAUGGUGGGGGUUGUAAAGUUUCGGCGGUUGGGGCUGGACUAGCGGCUUAUCAGCUUGUGGGUGGGGUAGUGGCUUACCAAGGCUUUGACGGGUAGCCGGCCUGAGAGGGUGACCGGCCACAUUGGGACUGAGAAACGGCCAAGAGUCCUACGGGCGGCAGCAGUGGGGGAUAUUGCACGAUGGGCGGAAGCCUGAUGGAGCAACGCCGCGUGCGAGAUGACGGCCUUCGGGUUGUAAAGCGCUUUCGCCUGAGACGAAGCGUGAGUGACGGUAAUGGGUAAAGAAGCACCGGCUAACUACGUG
rnacentral:rRNA from 1 species